AGCCGAAGUUAAAAGCUAAUUUGAACUUUCAUCCAAGAGCUCAAAACAGACUAGGAAAUAAGAUGGCAAUCCGGUGCCAUGCCCCAUUCAAUUAUUUAUAUUUCUAGCUGAUUACAGUUGGAAAGAAUAAAUAUUUCAAACCAAAUCAUUGUCAACCUAUGUUAUAAGGAACAGAAAAAGCUUGACGCUAUGAAAAAGGUAAAACAAGAUUAAUUGUACAGGAGAAGAGAGGAAGGGGGUGAUGGGGUGGGUGUUGAAGGGGAGGGGAGGGGAGCGGGAAAGGAACAAAUCAAGUGCUAAAUUACAGUUCCUUCUCUCCAUUUCAAACUGCUUGUAUAGGACUACCAUUACCCUGGCUUAACUCUUAACCCACUGCUGGAGCAUUGGCAUGAAAUGCCGACUGUCUCGAUGGCUCUCCUAUUAAUUUCAGGGAGAGUGGGGAGGGCUCUCUUUGGCCUCUCUCAGUCUCUCCUAUGCUGAGGUGCGACAUGCCAACCAGUUCAUCUACAUUGACAGGCUCCUUGGGAAAGAUUGGAACUGG
rnacentral:misc_RNA from 1 species